UCAAGCCAUUGAUGAUACAAGUUAUCCCUGUCUGAACAUGAGUGUGGAGUCAUGGUAACCUGAGGCUUGA